AGAGUUUGAUCAUGGCUCAGAUUGAACGCUGGCGGCAGGCCUAACACAUGCAAGUCGGGCGAUUUUGACCUCGGUCAGAAGAGCGGCGAACGGGUGAGUAACACGUAGGAAUCUGCCUGGUAGUGGGGGACAACGUUCCGAAAGGGACGCUAAUACCGCAUACGCCCUACGGGGGAAAGCUGGGGACCUUCGGGCCUAGCGCUAUCAGAUGAGCCUGCGUCGGAUUAGCUAGUUGGCGGGGUAAAGGCCCACCAAGGCGACGAUCCGUAACUGGUCUGAGAGGAUGAUCAGUCACACCGGAACUGAGACACGGUCCGGACUCCUACGGGAGGCAGCAGUGGGGAAUAUUGGACAAUGGGGGCAACCCUGAUCCAGCCAUGCCGCGUGUGUGAAGAAGGCCUUCGGGUUGUAAAGCACUUUAGGUCGGGAGGAAGGUUCGUUGGCUAAUAUCCAGCGGAAUUGACGUUACCGACAGAAUAAGCACCGGCUAACUUCGUGCCAGCAGCCGCGGUAAUACGAGGGGUGCAAGCGUUAAUCGGAAUUACUGGGCGUAAAGCGCGCGUAGGCGGCUUGAUAAGUCGGAUGUGAAAGCCCUGGGCUCAACCUGGGAACUGCAUUCGAUACUGUCGAGCUAGAGUGUGGGAGAGGGUGGUGGAAUUCCCGGUGUAGCGGUGAAAUGCGUAGAUAUCGGGAGGAACAUCAGUGGCGAAGGCGACCGCCUGGCCCAACACUGACGCUGAGGUGCGAAAGCGUGGGUAGCAAACAGGAUUAGAUACCCUAGUAGUCC
rnacentral:rRNA from 1 species